GCCCCAGUAAUAGUAGUAGUCUUUGCCUGAGGGCAACUCAGGGUCUACCAAGGAGGGCUAGUAUUCAAAGGAAGUCCACAUGUGUGCACAGGUUUAGGCUGUUUUCUGGAAUUGACAUUACCCAAAAUUCAUCAUGUGAAUAACUCACUUAGUGUGAGGCACUUCUUUACUGGGACCUUAAAUGGGGAGACUGAAACAUAAUGAGGUACUUGAAGUAUAUCUAACUGAGGACAGUUCAUGCUAAGAACUAGAAACAGCAGAGAUCAGAAGACUCAUAGCAGUGGGACUGGCCACUCAAGAACACAGGGAGAUAAACUCUUCCACGCACAGGGAGAGAGGCCUUGGAAUGAAGUCAUGCAGGUGUAACUGGACCAGGACUCCAUCCUCCAGCCUAGAGCAAAAGGAGCAGACAACAAUGAAAAUGGAUGACUCAGCUACAUUUUAUUCUUCUGCAUUCCACAUGGAGCCAUGAGGUUGGCACAAAACAUGUGGUGGAAUACAGACAAGUUGAUGAAGGGAGUGGCUGAGAGUUCUGUUAUCUGAAAACUGAAGUAGCCUUCCAAAUAAGUGAGUAUUAGAUAACAUGUGCUCCUGAGAAAACAGCCUUUUUCAAGCGUUCCUUCCAGAUCUGGGCCAGCUCUCUAGAGAAGCCAGGUUUUCAUACUUGAAGAUUGAUCUAUAAAGUGAUGGAUGCACAGGCACCAAAAAGCUUCUGGGAAAGUCUCUGAGAAGGUCAAUCCUCCCAUAUGUCACCCAUUGAAGAAUAAAUUAAGGAAGACAGCCACCCCAUGCUCUCACCUGACUAAAGCCGCACUGUAGCUACUGAACAGGGAAAUGACUGUGAAAGUGAAGAUGGACAAGAAACUCAUGGAGAAGCUACUGCCUUUUGAAGUUUGAGAGCUGUUCUUGCUCUAAAGGCCCAGUCUUGCUAAGAUAAGAACUCGUCAAUCAGCUCAUUGGGAAAAUUGAGUUACAAUGUGACCAAGGGUCAGAUGGCUUGAAGAUUAUCCUUCAGGACAUGCAGUAAAAUAAAAAUCAAUCCAACAAAUUCAA